UGUCCGACUUGGGCAGGCUGCGUCCACUUUCGAGUGGUUGCGUGAAUUAGUUUACUGUUUUGAAUAGAUGAAUCCCAGGAUUGUGCGAAUAUCUAAGCAGCAUAGUAUGAAAGAGGAGUAAUUGAAAAAUAACUGUAUCGUCCUGAAAGAAGCUUCACUGAUGCUACGUCUUGUCUGAUUCGAUCGGGAUACGUUUACUUGGAAGUUGUUGCGUGAGUUAGCUUAAUAAAUCCGAGGUUUGCGCAAACAUUUAAGAAGCAUAGUGUGAAAUAGGAGUAACUGAAAUAUAACUUCAUUGUCUGGGAAGAAAUAUUACUUGUUACUUAAUAUAAUUUAAAGUUCACCUACUCUUAAAGCUUAUUGUCCUCCUCUCUAUACAUUUUACAGCCUCAAAUCUCCACCUACGCUGUAUGUAUCUCCAAACCUAUUAAAAACUGCUCUUCCUCUCUCGAUCAUAAAUAUUUCCAAAUUGAAUGCACGAUAAAUUGCAACAGUUCACAGUGUUAUCGGCAUCGUAUCGCACAAUCACGAUCCAACAACCGACGUUAACCGGCCUGUACCGAACAUCAACGAACAAUAACCAGCAAGAGGCGACGUAACGUUCUAUUGAGAAUGGUUGGCAAACAUUCGUCAUGGACCGUGACAGCCGGCGAUUAAAUCGGCGUGGCUUGAUUCCCGGCGAUAUCGCGAUUACGUUGAUCCAACGAACGCGAUGCAUUGGCUGUUAUAAAGUUGGUUAACGAGUGUUGCACCGUUACACGUAGUAUGACCAGGCUUCGGACAGACGCUCUCGUCGACUGCUAAUUAAACUUGUAACAUAAUCUACAAGUAGCUGUUCUCCACGGAGCGUGCGUUUCAUCACCAUCGCUGCAAUACCAUUCAUCCACUUGUUCCUCUAUCAGUCAAUCUCAACAGUAAUAAAUGGAUGUAUAUAUAUCAUACCCAAAAAAUCAUUGUUACUAAUAUGUUGAAAGGUAGUGAUUAGUUGACAAUUUGUAAUACUACUUACUAGUUAUCAAUUUUGUGAGAACAAGUGCAAGUAUUUAUGUAUCGUUUCGUCGUCAAGUACAGAAGCAACAAUUUGUAAUUGAUCUAAUUGAUCCCUGGCACUCUUCGUCACAUGAAGUGUUAUUGGAGUCACGCAUUGUUAGUGGUUUAUUAAAAGAUUUCUGUUCCCUCUUUGUUUGAGUAUCGAUGAUCCCUUGAUAUAUCUUUGCAUCAACAGAAAUUGGUUCAAUAUGCGUUAACCUUGGGAAAUGUGAUUCAUCUGAGACGAACAUUCGUAACAUUUACAACGCUCUUCGGAUUAUUAUUCUUAUGUACUUGUUUACUGAAUAAACCUCAUUUCUAUCUUA